AGAGAUGGCAUUAGUUUACAGAGAGGGUCAACUGCAGUCUGGCAGGGAGCUGGGUUGAGUGGAUGGACUCAACUGGGGUCAUGGAUUGGAGUCAAGUUGUCACGGAAACUGAGGCAGGACCCCUGAAGAGUGGGGUCUCUGUGGGGCUUCCAAGGGAAGCCAAUCCUUUGAGGGCAGGUGGCUGCAGUGAUUGUAUAUCCAUCAUCACUCGUGUCCUUCUCCAUGGGCAUCUGUCUGUUUCUCUGCCCUGGAAGGAACUCAGGUCUCCAAGGGCAUUUAGGGGCAGGAGCCACCCUGGGACUUGUUCAAGGGCCCUGGCUUCCACCAACUUCCUUUCAUCCUUCUUCCCACAGUCUCAGCCGAUACCUGGGCCAAGACCUGUGGGCCCUGUCCCCAACCCCCCUCCGAUCGACUCAGCUACCCUGGAGGAAUUCAAGAGGAGGAUCCUGGAGUCCCAGCGACCCCCUGCCAGCAAUGCCAUAGCCUCAGCCAGGUAAGGUUCUGGGCGAGCUGAGACAUUUUAGACUCAGGACUUUGGACAAGGCUGGGUACAGGACUAGGGGUGGGAGGAGGCUUAUCUCACACAGGUUGCUUCCUUAAUUGGGCUCCUGCUGUAUACCACGCCCUAUGCUGGGCCCAGGGAACACAGCUGUGACCAAGACACACAAGUUCCAUUCAUGAAACUCCAUGAGUUGUGGGCCAGAGAAAUAAUGGAGGAGGCAGGGUAAGAAGGAUGACUUCCAUUACUGGGUGCUUACUGUGAUCUCGGCACAGUCCUAAGCACUCUACUGGAUUGAUUUAUUUAAUCCUUAGAAUCCUAACCUAUAAGUGAGCUAUCCCCACUUUCUGGAUGAAGCAAAUGAGGCACAGAGAGGGUGUACAUCAUGCCCCAGGUAACACAGCCAGAGCUAGGACACACCUAGGUGAUUAGACUUCAGAGAGGCAGGAGGGCCUCAGUGAGGAAGAAGCCUUUGGGCUGGAGGUGGGACAGGGGCCCAGCCUGGGGUAAGGCAGGGGGAAGUGCUCUAGGCAGCAAGAACAGCCAGAGCAAAGGCCCUGUAGCCAGAUAAGGGUGGCAGAAGUGAAUGGAGCUGAGGAAAGGGAGGAGGGAAAGCUGCGUCCAAGGGUGGCCCUUUCUGAGCCUCACUUUCUACCAAUACAAAAAUGGGGUCUCCGGGAGUUCCCACUGUGGCUCAUGGAAAACAAAUCUGACGAGCAUCCAUGAAGAGGCAGGUUCGAUCCCUG
rnacentral:lncRNA from 1 species